rnacentral:lncRNA from 1 species
UGUCUCCCGGGAUCGCCAUACCUCGGACUAUCACCACGUUGAAUUUUGUGUGGUUUUGUCGUGGCGUUCUGCGCA